rnacentral:sRNA from 1 species
GUCGCAGGUUCGAAUCCUGCACGACCCACCAAUUUCAGCAUUUAACUCAGAUGCUGAACGUGAAGGAUAACGUUGCGACAGCAACGGCCCGAAGGGCGAGGCGAAGCCGAGUGCAUCCUGCACGACCCACCA